CUUACAUAGUCAGUUGUCAACCCUCUCUUUCUCUCUCUCUCAGUCGUGAGAUCUAUAUUCCUCUCGACAAUAGGAGCAGUUCCCUAAACCCUAACCCUAACCCUAAUCGGUGGUUUUUUCCUGGUAGAGAAUCACAUUAUCAUCAACAUGAGUAAGCCAAUGGAUGAGGAUACCACUGGAGGCAAGAAUGAGGAAGAGGAAUUCAACACCGGGCCACUCUCUGUUCUGAUGAUGAGUGUUAAGAAUAACACACAGAACUGGAUAGCAUUAUGCAAGUGACCAGGCCUGGUCCAGUUUUUAGAAUUCUCAAACAGUCCCUUGGAGUUAUAGCUUGUGAUAUCAGUGCUCAUUAACUGCCGAAACAACAAGAAGCUUCUAGGUCGUGUGAGGGCAUUUGAUCGUCACUGUAACAUGGUUCUUGAAAAUGUCAGGGAGAUGUGGACUGAGGUACCAAAGACUGGUAAAGGCAAGAAGAAAGCUCAACCUGUCAACAAAGAUAGGUUUAUCAGUAAGAUGUUUCUUCGGGGAGACUCUGUUAUCAUCGUUCUUAGGAACCCAAAGUGAGAGAUGUCGCAGUUCUCAUGAUCAUCUGAAGAUGAACAACUUAUUUUGAUGAUGUCGCAGUUUUCUGGAGGUUUACUUAACAAUGACAAUGUGGUCUAAGUAGGAGAAUUGUUCCUUGCUUAAGUUCUUCCUAAUACUAUUAAUGAUCUAUUUGUUUUGCUAGUAACUUGUUGAUCACGUGGGAAUUGCCGUUAUUAUUAUGAAUGUGUGACCUUGCUGAGGAUUUAUGUUAA